AGAAUGCGCCCGUGUGUCUGGGGGGCAUCGUUGGCACAGGAACUAACGUCAGCUGUGCACAGGCGGCGGAGACUUGGGGAACUUGGUUAAACAAGAACGCAGCUGAAUUCCGCCCACAUCCUAGACGACACCAGGCCGCCCUGGGUCCAGGGAGAGGCUUCGGCCUCACUGCUGUGUCCCGUGGCUCCCAGGGCCCACAGCCCCUCUUCUGCCCCUCCUUUACCCCGGCCUCUUCUCUCUGUCCUCCUGCCCGCCCACCGCCAUGCUGACCACCUCUCCACAUGGACCGAGGCCAGCACCUGCCCCUGACUAGGCCCCUGGCCAGCUCACGCUCUGGGGCCAGCUCUCCGUGCUCUGCAAACGCAAACCUCAGCCACACCGCCCGCCUGGAUGCACGGCUGCUUGUCUCUCUCUCUCAGAUGCCCCCGCUCCCAGACCUGCAGUCCCAGUGCCUUGGAAUAUAGUAAACAUCACAUAGGUUUUCCCAUUUUAUAAUGUUCCUCAGUGCUAACGUUUUGCCAUUGUGCACAGGUUACUUUACUAUUACCACGUAUAAAACUCAUAUAAACC
rnacentral:lncRNA from 1 species